rnacentral:lncRNA from 1 species
AAGCCUAGUAGUUAAAAUUCAACCCCUGACCUAGCCACUGAUGUUAUCUAUAGAUUCCAGACAUUGUAUGGAAGGACAUUGUGAAACUUCCUGCUCUGUUCUGCUUCACUUUGACUACUGGUGCAUGCAGCUCCUGUCACGUACCCCCUAGCUUGCUCAAUCAGUCACGACCCUCUCGUGUGAAACCUUUAGCAUUGUGAGCUCUUAAAAGGGACAGAAAUUGUGCACUCAGGGAGCUCGGAUUUUAAGACGCUAGUCUGCCAACACUUCCAGCUGAAUAAAGCCCCUUCCUUCUACAACUUGGUGUCUGAGGGGUUUUGUCUGUGGCUUGUCCUGCUACAUUUCUUGGUUCCCUGACUGGGAAAUGAGGUGAUUAACUGACAGACGGUCGAGGCAGCUCCUUAGGUGGCUUACACUUCCCUGUGGAGCAUCCCUGCGGGGGACUCUGGCCAGCUUGAGCAAUGCGGAUCCUGAAAGGGCUCCUGGGUAGGCCUUUUCCCCGGUGGAACACAUCAUCAGAGCGGUGCAUGGCAGGUCCCCACAGAGGAUCAACGUAGUUGCUGAACACCAGGAAGGAGCUGGCACUUGGAGUUCGGACAUCUGAAACUCGUCUUAGGUAUUUCUUUAUAGGAACGCAAAAACAGAGAAUUUUGUCGGGAUCAUGGGACUAGAUUGCAACUCUGGACAGAGCAGCAUGUGGAGGCUUGCACUGUGCAUUUUAGCUCCAGAUCAACUGCAAGAACAAACGGGCAAUACUGAGAGGACUCACAGACCCUCUGAAGGAAGUGGACUGCUCCUGCAGGACCCCAGAGACACCCCAAAUACGGUGAGUGCCCCAACUGUGGAAGUAGGAAAGGGAGACCCUCCUCUCCUGAACACACAGCUGAAGGUCUGUUUGCAAGAGAAGUUUCUGACUUUACCUGGAGCUGAGUCAAGUCAGAGUGCCAAACCAAGUGAAAUACAGGGGUAGAGGGAGCAGCAGAAAGGCCCCUUCUUUUGCAGCUGGGAGGUGGAAAGUAUCCAGCAAGUUUUCAAGCCUGUCUCACCCUCUGCCUGGAAACAGACUCGGGGCUGUUGUGGGCUGCACAGUGGGACUGAGAAUGGCCCUCUGGUUUAUGUGGCAGCUGGGUGAGGCCUGUGACUGCUGAUUUUCCCCCACUUCCCUGACAACCUGCAUGACCCAGCAGAGACAGCCACAGUCCUCCUAGGUACACAAUUCCUGUGACUUGGGAAUCUCAACCCCAUCCCCCACAGCAGCUGCAGCAAGACCAGCCCAAGGAGACUCUGAGCUCAGACAUGCCUAGCCCCACCCCCACCUGAUGGUCUUUCCCUACCCAUCCUGGUAGCAGAAGACAAAGGGCAUAUAAUCUUGGGAGUUCUAGGGCCCCACCCACUGCUGGUUGUUCUCCACAGUACUACAGCUGAUGCUAUCUGGAAAGCACUACCUCCUGGCAGGAGACAACCAGCACAAUAAUAGAGCAUUAAACCACCAAAGUUAAGGACCCUCACAAAGUCCACUGCACCUUCUGCCACCUCCACCAGAACAGGCACUGAUAUCUACAGGUGAGAGACCCAUAGAGAGUUCACAUCACAGGACUCUGUGCAGACCCCAGUACCAGUCCAGAGCUGGGUAGACUCACUGGGUGGCUAGAUCCAGAAGAGAAACAACAAGCACUGCAGUUCGGCUCACAGGAAGCCACAUCCACAGAAAAACGGGGAGAGUACAACAUCAAGGGAACAAUCCGUGGGACAAAAAAUCCUGAACAACAGCCUUCAGCCCUAGACUGUCAGGCUUCUGAGCCGAAGCUCAGCCAUUGUAACCCCUGUGACCUGCACAUAUAUGUCCAGAUGGCCUGCAAGAGCCAAGAAGUCUGGGGCAACCCAAAACUACAGAAGAAGUAAAACAGCCAGCUCUUGUCUUAACUGAUUGACCAACCUUACAACAUUCCAUUAUGACUUGUUCCUGCCCUGCCCCAACUGAUUGAUCAACCUCGUGACAUUCUUCUUCUGGGCAAUGAGUCUUAUGAUCUCCCCACCAUGCACCUUGUGACUCCCUCCUCUGCUGACUGUAACUUUCCACUGCUUACCCCAGUCCUAUAAAACUGCCCCACCCCUAUCUCCCUUUGCUGACUCCUUUUUCGGACUCAGCCCACCUGCAUCCAGGUGAAAUAAACAGCUUUAUUGCUCACAGAAAGCCUGUUUGGUGGACUCUCUUCACACGGACGCAUAUGACAUUUGGUGCCAAAGACCUGGGACAGGAGGACUCCUUCGGGAGACCGUUCCCAUCCUCGCCCUCACUUCGUGAGGAGAUACAUCUAUGACUUCAGGUCCUCAGACCAACCAGCCCAAGGAACAUCUCAUCAAUUUCAAAUCAGAAAUGUAAUAUAAACGGAAUCACACAUCGUGUAAUCUUUGGGACCGCCUCAUUUCACUCAGCAUAAUUCUCUGAAGAUUCCUCCAGGUUGCUGCUUGUCCUGUGUUUGUUCCUUUUCAUUCCAUUGUAUGGAACGGUUCAACAGUUUGUUGAACCAUUUGCAUUUUGAAGGACAACUAGGUUGUUUCCCAUUUGGAGUUAUGACAAGUAAAGUUGCUACAAACAUUCAUGCACAGGACUUUGUGUAAACAUGUUUUCAUUUCUCUGUGAUAAAUCCCUAAAAAUAUAAUUACUAGAUCAUAUAGCAGUUUUUUAUUAAACUUUUAAGUUAUAGGGUACAUGUGCACAAUGUGCAGGUUUGUUACAUAUGUAUACAUAUGCCAUGUUGGUGUGCUGCACCCAUUAACUCUUCAUUUAACAUUAGGUAUAUCACCUAAUGCUAUCCCUACCCCCUCCCCCAACCCCACAACAGGCCUCGGUGUGUGAUGUUCCCCUUCCUGUGUGCAUGUGAUCUCA